GCCGGGUGUGGUGGCGCAUGCCUGUAAUCCCAGCUACUUAGGAGGCUGAGGCAGGAGAAUCGCUUGAACCCGGGAGUGGAGGUUGCAGUGAGCCGAGAUCACACCACUGCAUUCCAGCCUGGGUGACAGAGCGAGACUCUGUCACAA
rnacentral:SRP_RNA from 1 species